UAGGGAAUCUUCGGCAAUGGGGGCAACACUGACCGAGCAACGCCGCGUGAGUGAAGAAGGUUUUCGGAUCGUAAAGCUCUGUUGUAAGAGAAGAACGUGUGUGAGAGUGGAAAGUUCACACAGUGACGGUAACUUACCAGAAAGGGACGGCUAACUACGUGCCAGCAGCCGCGGUAAUACGUAGGUCCCGAGCGUUGUCCGGAUUUAUUGGGCGUAAAGCGAGCGCAGGCGGUUUAAUAAGUCUGAAGUUAAAGGCAGUGGCUUAACCAUUGUUCGCUUUGGAAACUGUUAAACUUGAGUGCAGAAGGGGAGAGUGGAAUUCCAUGUGUAGCGGUGAAAUGCGUAGAUAUAUGGGGGAACACCGGUGGCGAAAGCGGCUCUCUGGUCUGUAACUGACGCUGAGGCUCGAAAGCGUGGGGAGCAAACAGG
rnacentral:rRNA from 1 species